GCACAUCUGUUUAAACUUUUUCCCGGGGGGGGAUUAAGCAUAUAAUUAAGCGGAGGAAAAGAAACUAACUAGGAUUCCCUCAGUAACGGCGAGUGAAGCGGGACUAGCUCAGGAUGUGAAUCUGCGCUUUAAUGGCGCCGAAUUGUGGUCUAUAGACCUUGACGUUAUCUGCCGGGCCAAGUUCCUUGGAAAAGGACAGCUGAGAGGGUGAGACUCCCGUCCGCCUGGUAGAGUGAGUCAUGUGUCAACGAGUCGAGUUGUUUGGGAUUGCAGCUCUAAUUUGGUGGUAAAUUCCAUCUAAAGCUAAAUAUUGGUGGGAGACCGAUAGCGUACAAGUACCGUGAGGGAAAGAUGCAAAGAACUUUGAAAAGAGAGUUAAAGAGUACCUGAAAUUGCUGAAACGGAAGCGAAGGAAACCAGUGUUUGUUGGUUCAUAUUUCCCUGGCCACUUGUGGUUUGGGCGCUGUGAGCUUGCGUGUGUUUGUCUUGGUUGAUCCCUUUGGAAGAGCGCAGUCAGAGUUGAUGUCUGUUGCUAGCACUGGGUUUGACUGAUGCAGACG
rnacentral:rRNA from 1 species